ensembl:lncRNA
AGAUGGCAUAACCUUCUAAUAUGAUAUAUCCAAUCGUAUCAGACUGGAUACCUUUAUUGUGCCUUUUUUAUUGUGCACCAUAAGCUUGCAUAAACUGCACAACAUACCAAACAGAGCAGAUUCAAAUGUUGCUACAUGUAUCUGCUUAGUUAACACCAGUCAGAGGCUGCAUGCACCAUUGUGGCUCUUUGAAAAGCAGAGACUCUGUAGAUCAGCAUGUAACAGACACAAUAACUGCGUCAACGGCGCACUCAUACUAGGCCAUCUGGCCAAUUUCACACCUAACCGUGCUCAACUGGCCCCAUUGUUCUCUGGCCUGCAUCCACACUAGGCCAUCUGUUUACAGAGUGACAGAGGCAUGGAUGUUGUUCUUGUCUUCCUGGCAUUUACAAACAUUUUGGUAAUAUAGGAUAGUUGUGAUCUUAGAAACACAACUGAGCCCUAGCCCCAUAUGUCUGUCUCAAGGCAGAUCAAUAAGGAAUGAUAAAUUACAUUUUGACACAUGUAAUAAAAAACAUAGACAUGAAUGACGUCAUUUCUCCUAGGAGGAAUGUCUUUGUGGAUAUCUGUAAUGACAAUUGUGGAUAGGAGGAAUGUAGUUGGGGAUAUUCGAAAUGUUAGUUUUGACUAGGCGAAACUGAUUUGCAGAUAUCUGCAACACAUAACCAGUCUAGCGAAUUUAUGUCAAAUCGUCUUGCCAUACGGAACAGCCCCUUGGCCACGGCACACAUGGGAGAGGUGUGCCAUGGCCUAAGUACAGAUGCUAAUGAGAUGACACGUGCACAUGCGCGGAUACGCAACGUGAGCUGGAUGACGUAGUCCUUGCGCGACCCUUCUUUCUUUAUAGGUCCAUUCCCUUCUUCCCCACAACAAUCACUUUAAACAAUGGCGGCAAGCGGUUCACGAGUGGGUUUACGUUGGGGCGAUAGUGAAGUCGAGUGUUUACUUGAAAUUUGGGCCGACGACAGCAUUCAGUCGCAGCUGGACACCACACACAAGAAUUCGGGGGUGUUUGGUGCAAUACGUGACUAUUUAGAACAUCGUGGAUACCACCGAACUAUGGGACAGUGUCGGGACAAAGUUAAAAAGCUGAGGUUCCAAUACCUCAGAGUGCGGGACGCACUCCGCAGGUCGGGCUCGUCUUCUGAUGAAAAGGGCCGGUUUCCGUGGUACGACGCUGUCGACCUGAUAAUUGGCCAUAAAACAAGCAGUGUGCCGAGAGUUUUGGAGUCGAGUCCGGUGUUCUGCAGGUUGGAAUGCACGACGGAGGACAAUAUACGUGAAACUCCAUUGAAAGUCGCUUUGUGUCGCAGGCGCCGGAAGGGCCUCCGCGACAAGUACAUCCGGGAGGUCAGGAAGGAGAAGCAGGCAAUCGUGAGUGGGGAGAUCGUAGGCUCACAGGGGAGGUGGAGACACACUGCUGACCGGGCCUUCCUCAUGGAGCCGCCUCGGGACAUGAAGAACUGGACUGGGGGAGGAGGAGAUCACAGCAACACCGAGCCCGAGUUGCCAGUGGUCAACGGCGAGGUCCACGGUUGUGUGGAGAAGCCAGCGGAAAUAGAGGUUAAAACUGAGGAUGUUGAGGACGAGCCUGAGGAGGAGUCGGCUGCGGCCCAUGGCAUGGGGAGCUACACGCGGGCAGAGCCGACCGUUCAACAAAGCUCGGCCAAACUCUUCUGCCAAAGCAUCGUGCCUCAUUUGGAGAGGCUGCCUCUAGAGAAACUCAUCCAGGUGCAGAUACAGAUCCUCCAAGUGGUUCAAGAUGCAACGGGCAGCUAGUCUUUUUUUUAUCACACACAAAUCUAAAAUAAGCUUCAGCAUCACAGAGAUGCAUUUUAGCUAACAAUACAGAAGUAAUUGUUGUUGUAGAAUUGUUCUCCUACUCUCCCAUAUUGGGAAGAACAUGGGAUUAAACGUUUGAGGACCUUUUUGUGUUUUUUUUUAUGAACGUUUUUUUUAUGGUGAAGAAAUGGACAACAAACCUGUCAUUUACUUGUAUCCUUAAGGGUUUUUGAUGAGAUUUUUUCUUUUGGCAUUGUGUUAAAACAUUGUAAAUAAUGUGUAUUUGUUUUCUCCAAUUUCAUUUUAAAAUGAUGACAACAUUUGUGCUACUGCGUUUCAGUAGUUAUGAGUCCAUGCCUGGGAAUGGGGAAAUGCACCCUGGUUUUUAGCAUUUCUCACGAAAGCCGGUCUAUGUAAUCUCUCCUCCCUACCGCUCCAGCAUUAAUCACGAAACACAGCGCAACAAUGGUUUUAUGGCUAAGUUACAUUUCCUAGGAUACCACCAUUUCAAGCGACGGCAUCCAAUGCUGCGACCAUGACACUAUUUUUGUAGUUUAACAGGCUGAAGGAUGUGGAGGAGAGCAACACUAUUUCACUUUCUUCAGUCAAAUCCACUAACAUUCCAUGCACUAGAUAAGGAUAUAUCUAGAAUAUUUUCCAUUUGGAUAUCUGAAAUUAAUGUUUUGACUUUGACAAUUGGAUUGUAUAUCUGAAAUGUGAAUAUUUCCUAGUAACAAGAGAUAUAUUUAUCUAUUUGUUUGUGUAGGCGGCCUAUGUUUGAAUAAUGCUAUUGUGGAUAUCCGAAACUGAAAGCCCAAUAAAGCAAAAGUGACGUCACAUGUCCGAGGAAAAUUGUGGAUAGGAAUAAUGUCAUGGCUGGCUGAUAUCUGAACACUUAUUUUUGAUUAGGAAGAACUGAAUCACGUAUCUGCAACGUAUGAUCCAGUCUCGCUCUUAAAUGUUUAAACGGCUUUGCCAUACUACAUGUCAUCCACAACCACCUCCACCUCACUGUAUGUCCUUUGUCGCUCUUUAUACCUCGUCCCCUUACUCGCUAAAGCCAUUUUGGCAAAAAGCCUCGAAGGCAAACUUCUAGCAUUGCACCCCCAAUAAUAUGCAUUAUUAUGGAUAUGGAUUUGUACACAACAUAUAGUAG